GAUAAACGCUGGUGGCGUGCAUAACGCAUGCAAGUCGAACGAUGAACCUUAUUAGAUUUCUUCGGAAUGAAAAUAACUGGAUUACUGGCGAACGGGUGAGUAACACAUGAGUAACCUGCCUUACACAAGGGGAUAGCCUUUGGAAACGAAGAAUAAUACCCUAUAAAGUUAGUCAAUCGCAUGGUAGACAUAACCACAAGAUUUAUCGCGUGUAAGAUGGACUUGCGUCUGAUUAGCUAGUUGGUGAGAUAAAAGCCCACCAAGGCGACGAUCAGUAGCCGGCUUGAGAGAGUGUACGGCCACAUUGGGACUGAGACACGGCCCAAACUCCUACGGGAGGCAGCAGUGGGGAAUUUUGCACAAUGGGGGAAACCCUGAUGCACCGACGCCGCGUGAUUUAUAAGGCCUUCGGGUUGGAAAAAUCUUUUUUAUGGGAUGAAAAUGACAGUACCAUAAGAAUAAGGUCCGGCUAAAUACGUGCCAGCAGCCGCGGUAAUACGUAUGGACCGAGCGUUGUCCGGAAUCAUUGGGCGUAAAGGGUACGUACGCGGCCUACUAAGUUAGAAGUGAAAUAAUAUAGUUCAACUAUAUCAAGCUUUUAAACUGUUAGGCUUGAGAGAUGAAAGGGAAAGUGGAAUUCCUAGAGUAGCGGUGAAAUGCGCAGAUAUUAGGAAGAAUACCGGUGGCGAAGGGGACUUUCUGGUCAUCAUCUGACGCUGAGGUACGAAAGCGUGGGUAGCAAACAGGAUUAGAUACCCUGGUAGUCCACGCUGUAAACGACGAGUGUUAGGUUCUUGGAAUAAUCUGGGAGCCGCAGGUAACGCAUUAAACACUCCGCCUGGGGAGUACGCACGCAAGUGUGAAACUCAAAGGAAUUGACGGGGACCCGCACAAGCAGCGGAGCAUGUGGUUUAAUUCGACGCAACGCGAAGAACCUUACCAAGUCUUGACAUAAUACGGAGGGAGUUAGAGAUAAUUCCUUAUCACUUCGGUGAGCUGAAUUACAGGUGGUGCAUGGUUGUCGUCAGCUCGUGUCGUGAGAUGUUGGGUUAAGUCCCAUAACGAGCGCAACCCCUAUCGUUAGUUACUAUCAUUAAGUUGGGGACUCUAACGAUACUUCCGGUGAUAAACCGGAGGAAGGUGGGGACGACGUCAAAUCAUCAUGCCCUUUAUGACUUGGGCUACACACGUGCUACAAUGGCAGAUACAGAGGGCAGCGAAAGAGCGAUCUGAAGCGAAACUCACAAAGUCUGUCCCAGUUUGGAUUGUACUGUGCAACUCGAGUACAUGAAGUUGGAGUUGCUAGUAAUCGCGAAUCAGAAUGUCGCGGUGAAUGCGUUCCCGGGUCU
rnacentral:rRNA from 1 species